rnacentral:rRNA from 1 species
AGUGAACGCUGGCGGUAGGCCUAACACAUGCAAGUCGAACGGCAGCACAGGAGAGCUUGCUCCCUGGGUGGCGAGUGGCGGACGGGUGAGGAAUACAUCGGAAUCUACUCUGUCGUGGGGGAUAACGUAGGGAAACUUACGCUAAUACCGCCUCCGACCUACCGGUGAAAGCAUGGGACCUUCGGGCCUCGCGCGAUUGAAUGAGCCGAUGUCGGAUUAGCUAGUUGGCGGGGUAAAGGCCCACCAAGGCCACGAUCCGUAGCUGGUCUGAGAGGAUGAUCAGCCACACUGAAACUGAGACACGGUCCAGACUCCUACGGGAGGCAGCAGUGGGGAAUAUUGGACAAUGGGCGCAAGCCUGAUCCAGCCAUACCGCGUGGGUGAAGAAGGCCUUCGGGUUGUAAAGCCCUUUUGUUGGGAAAGAAAUCCAGCUGGCUAAUACCCGGUUGGGAUGACGGUACCCAAGGAAUAAGCACCGGCUAACUUCGUGCCAGCAGCCGCCGUAA